rnacentral:rRNA from 1 species
CCUACGGGUGGCAGCAGUGAGGAAUAUUGGUCAAUGGGCGCGAGCCUGAACCAGCCAAGUAGCGUGAAGGAUGACUGCCCUACGGGUUGUAAACUUCUUUUUUAAAGGAAUAAAGUGCGGCACGUGUGCCUUUUUCUAUGUCCUAUAUGAUUACGGCUCGGCUAAAUCCGUGCCAGCAGCCGGGGUAAUUCGGAGGAUCUGGGGGUUAUCCGGGUUUAAUGGGUUGAAAGGGAUGGUUGGUGGGUUGUUAAAGCUGUCGUGAAAGUUUGCGGGUCAACCUUGAAGUUGCAAUUGAUACUGGUAGUCUUGAGUGCAGUUGAGGUAGGCGGAAUUCGUGGUGUAGCGGUGAAAUGCUUAGAUAUCACGAAGAACUCCGAUUGCGAAGGCAGCUUACUAAGCUGCCACUGACAUUGAGGCUCGAAAGUGUGGGUAUCAAACAGGAUUAGAUACCCGUGUAGUC